rnacentral:SRP_RNA from 1 species
GCCAGGCGUGGUGAUGCAUGCCUGUAAUCCCAGUUACUCAGGAGGCUGAGGCAGGAGAAUCGCUUGAACCCGGGGGGGUUGGGGGACGGAGGUUGCAGUGAGCCGAGAUCAUGCCAAUGCACUCCAGCCUGGGUGACAGAGUGAGACUCUGUCUCAA